rnacentral:rRNA from 1 species
UACAGAGGUCUCAAGCGUUGUUCGGAUUCAUUGGGCGUAAAGGGUGCGUAGGCGGCGCGGUAAGUCGGGUGUGAAAUUUCGAGGCUUAACUUCGAAACUGCAUUCGAUACUGCCGUGCUUGAGGACUGGAGAGGAGACUGGAAUUUACGGUGUAGCGGUGAAAUGCGUAGAUAUCAGGAGGAACACCGGUGGCGAAGGCGGUUCUCUGGGAAUAUUCUGACGCUGAGGAGCGAAAGUGUGGGGAGCGAACAGG